GAUGAACGCUGGCGGCGUGCUUAACACAUGCAAGUCGAACGAAAAAGCCCAGCUUGCUUGGUGUACUCGUGUCGAACGGGUGUGUGACACGCGAGUAUCCUGCCCUUAACACUUUGGUAAGCCUUGGGAAAUGUGUCUAAUAUCGGGUAGAAGCGUCCCCCGCAUGUUGUGUGUUGGGGAGAUUUAUCGGUUUUGGAUGGACUCGCGGCGUAUCAGCUUGUUGGUGUGGUAAUGGCUCACCAAGGCGCCGACGGGUAGCCGGCCUGAGAGGGUGACCGGCCACACUGGGACUGAGACACGGCCCAGACUCCUACGGGAGGCAGCAGUGGGGAAUAUUGCACAAUGGGCGGAAGCCUGAUGCAGCGACGCCGCGUGAGGGAUGACGGCCUUCGGGUUGUAAACCUCUUUCAGUAGGGAAGAAGCGAGAGUGACGGUAACUGCAGAAGAAGCACCGGCUAACUACGUG
rnacentral:rRNA from 1 species